UGAAGGCUAAGGCUUGGCAUGGAGAUAUAGAGGGAAACACUGGAUAAUACUUGAUUCAGGCCACUGGCACAUGGAAACAGGGCUUCUGGAGUUGCUAGAAUGAUCCAAUUUGGGAGUACACAUAAAAGGCACCUGCACUUGCAGAUUUAGUAGAUAAGGAAAGUAAGUUGUGAAUGUUUAAUCAGUGAAAUCAACAGGUCAAAAAUCUACUGCGCCUUAGAAGGAGUUUGUCAAAAACCAGCACUCCAGUUGUUUUUACUGGCCUGUCUCAUCCUUCAUUUGCCAUGACAGACCCUAUGGUUGACCAGAUGACUAGGCUUAAGCUCAAACUUUUAGAAAAGAGACUGGAGAAUGAACGGGACAACUUGGAUGAAAGAUUGGAAACAGCUUUUUCCACAGCAAGAAGCAUUGGUGGACAUGAGGAUGCACUGCACAGCGCCCUCCGAAGAAAGAAGGACCUGCUGCAGAAACUCAGGGAGCAGCACAUGCUGGAGGAGCUGAACCGUCCACACACCUGGGGAGGGACGAAGACCAGGUACCGACAGGGCACCGACCCCCAACAGCAGCCUAUUCACAACUACCAGCAGCCCCCACCCCUCCCUCAGCCACACCCCCCACGCAUCAUCCAGCAGAUGAUCCCACAGCAGCCUGCAACAAUUAUCCAACAGUUGCCACAGCAACAACCACUGAUCACACAGAUCCCACCUCCACAACCUUUACCACCAAUCAAAUCCGGGAGCAUAAAAGAAGAUAUGGUAGAGUUAAUGUUGAUGCAGAAUGCCCAGAUGCACCAGAUUAUCAUGCACAACAUGAUGCUGAAGGCCAUUCCCCCCAUGGCAUUUUCUCCCACUGGAGGUGGUAGACACCCUGGACCUGCUCCCAAUCAGCAGUUCUCUCAGCCCAACCAGGACAGUUAUUUGGGCUCGCCCAUCAUCCUGAAGUCAGAAAAGCCCCGCGGAAGUUCAGUUCAUCAUCACCACCACUACACCCCUCCUCCCCUCCAAUUCCCACCUUUUCCUGGACAGCUUCCACCUGUCAGCUUCCCCAUGUGGCCACCUAUGGUGGCCUCUAAUUCCAUGGGCCAGGGAGGUGGUUACCAACCAUCAGUGCAUCACCUGACGGGCCCCACUACACUCCCACCUCUUAACACGUAAGAAUCUGCACAGCAUCUGUGAGGGUAACAAUGGAUGGGUUCCACAACAGAGUCCCACUGGGCCUUUGAGGCAUUUAGGUGACUAUCCAUUUUAUCUUCACAAAGAAGUUGCAUCCAUCUUCAGGCAGUACCUUAAGCAAUCUGACUGGGAGUGUAUAGGUUGGACAUUGCUGACAUCCAUACAGAAGGAAGGGACCAGACUGUUUGAGAUCCUUGCAGAUUGUUGCUACAUCUUCUUUCCUGUGCAAGGCUGCAAAGGAGUGUUUCAGUAUUCAAAUGACUGUCCAUUUUAAACUCAGUCGCUGAUUAUAUCACUUUGAGCAAACCAUGGAAUGUUGAUGCAGAUGUAUAAAAAUAUAUGUAGUUAGAAGUUGAAAUAGAUUUUACGUUAAAUAUUCUUCAUGAUUCUGAAUACAAAUCUUCUCUUAAAAGGGGUUAUUGAAAGAAAAAGCCAUAUUAUUAUAUGUUAUCUUAAUAAUGCUAUAUUUAGCCUGAAACGUUUGCUUCUUUUCAGUAAAGCUUUAAUAUAUCAUGUUAUUUUAAAGGACUGUUUUCUCCUUAAUUUAGUGCAUCUAUCCAUAUGGAAUGACCUUUCCAAUAGUUUCACCUACUGUUGUCACAAACUAUAUCUAUUUCUUUCUUUUCUUUGUAAGCUAUGUAUUUUUGUAUUUAUGAUUUUUUGCAAAGUGCUUGAAA